GACUUUUCCUUACUUCAGCUAAAGACGGGGUUCUUGUCUGGCCCACGACCAUGAAAAUUUAGGUUCACAGAUGGUUUAAAGGGUACAAAUAGCAAGUUGAUGCAAAGAAAAAUAUAUAAAGUAAAUCAUGGAGAUUAUAUGUGAUUUGGCAAAGGUCAUGAAGGAUACCAUCGCUGAAACUAAACUUUGGAAUAAAUUAGUCUUAUCAAAUUACAAAGCAGACCAGAGCCCUGCCAACCUCUGCAGAAUGCGGUCAUACUGCUCCCCCAUGGAAUGAAGUAUAGAACAAAUCUACCAAUCCUGAGAGAUUGCUGUGACUUUGAAUUCUGUGGAAUCUACACAUCAAUUUGAGGACAGCAGACAGCUUAACAAUGUUGUGUCUUCCAAAGAACAUAGUAUCUAUCUUCAUUUAUUCUGAUCCUCUUUAAUUGCUUUCAGCAGUAUUUGUCAUGGGUGAGGGUGAGAUGCUGUUCUGUGCUAUGUAGAAUGUUUAGCAGCAUAUUUGACCACUAGAUGCCCGUAGCACCUCCCCACCAAGUUGCCACAAUCAAAGUGACUCCAGGCAUUACAAAACAUCUUCUGUGGGGCAAAAUUACCCUUGAUUAAGAACCCCUGAACUAGAGAAAUAGAGAAAGUGUGGUAUUAACAAAACGAUAGCCAUAUUAAUCAGUGGCAAUGAAAAUUAUCAACUCUGUAUGCAAUAGCAAACAAAACAAGAACAAUAACUAAAACAACCUUCUAAAGGCUGUGGAAAGUUUUAAAAAAAGAAAAAGGUCAUAAAGAUUUUAGAGAGAAUAAACAUUUGUUGCAGUGUCAUUUCCCUGCUUUUGCUGUUUUUGCUGAAGUGCGGACUGCAGUUGAAGCACGACUCGAGGAAGGUGGAACCCCUGUGCAAAACUCAGCAUUUUACUGUCUAGGUUACCAGAGGAUGGACUAAGGGCACUCAUGGCCAUUGCAAAAGUAAAGGGGAGUCUCAGGAAAGAGAGAAACUGAGGAUGGCAACCCCAACUCCUAUGGACUGAAUUGUGUCUUCCCCAACCCCCAGUUGGUAUGUUGAAGCCCUAACCCUCAAAGUUCAAUAAAUCACACG
rnacentral:lncRNA from 10 species